rnacentral:tRNA from 1 species
GCAGUGGUGGUUCAGGGGUAGAAUUUUCGCCCUCCAUGCAGGAGACCCGGGUUUGACUCCAGGCCAAUGCA